UUUGCUAAUAUUAGCAAAAUAUUUUAUUUCCUUUUAUUUCCAUUCAUCUUAUCAUUUAUAUAUACAUACAUGAUUUUGUUAAAUUGAUUUUCCAUUAGCAUAAUAUUUUGUUUCCUUUUAUUUCCAUUCAUCUUAUUAUUUAUAUAUACAUACAUGAUUUUGUUAAAUGGAUUUUCCUAAUACCUGAGUAUAUUUAUAUACUAUCUUAAGAAUUAUGGUUAGUCAAGUGACUAGCAUUGACUAACCUUAACUCUAUUGACUAUCUCUAUAAGAUAAGAACCUUGGAAAAAGAAAAAACAAAACGAACAGCAGAAAAGAAGAUAAGAUAAGAAUAAAUUCACAAAAAUUUUCUUCUGAUUCCUCCUAGCCAGAUACGAAAGUUUUUUAGCAUAAUAUUUUAUUUCCUUUUAUUUCAAUGGAUCUUAUCAUUUAUAUAUACAUGAUUUUUUUAAAUGCAUUUUGCUAAUAUUAGCAGAAUAUUUUAUUUCCUUUUAUUUCCAUUCAUCUUAUCAUUUAUAUAUACAUACAUGAUUUUGUUAAAUGGAUUUUCCAUUAGCAUAAUAUUUUGUUUCCUUUUAUUUCCAUUCAUCUUAUUAUUUAUAUGUACAUACAUGAUUUUGUUAAAUGGAUUUUCCUAAUACCUGAGUAUAUUUAUAUACUAUCUUAAGAAUUACGGUUAGUCAAGUGACUAGCAUUGACUAACCUUAACUCUAUUGACUAUCUCUAUAAGAUGAGAACCUUGGAAAAAGAAAAAACAAAACGAACAGCAGAAAAGAAGAUAAGAUAAGAAUAAAUUCACAAAAUACCGUGUCCUUAUUUUGACACAAAGUAGCUGACAAUCAGAACAAAGAAAAUAGCCAAAUAGCAAACCAAAAUAUAGUGCAAAAAUAAGGUAUAAUUCCAAAAAAAGGACAAAAAGAAAAUGACAAAGCACGAACAAGCCAUAUUUAGAUUUUACGAGAAUACUAUAGACGAAUGCCUUAAUGAAGAACCAACCAAAGAAGAUAGAAUUGCCAGAAGUGAAAAGAACGCAUAAAAUGGAGAAGUAUUUUCAUUAUUUUUCUGAUUCCUCUUAGAACCUUCUGAAUUUUUUUGAUUUGAACUCCUAGAAAAUUCUCAAUUUUUUUGAUUUGAGCUGCUAGAAAAUUAUGAAUGUUUUUGCUUUGAGCUCAUAGAAAAUUAUGAAUUGAAAUGAAAAUUGAAAUCAAAAGGGAAAUCAAAAUCGAAAUGAAAAAGAUUCUAAUUGUUCCUAUUAAUCUUAACCAGUCAGAAAGAAGGAGAAAAAAAUAAUGCAAAAUUAAAUAAGGUAUAAUUCCAAAAUAAGGACAAAAAGAAAAUGACAAAGCACGAACAAGCCAUAUUUAGAUUUUACGAGAAUACUAUAGACGAAUGCCUUAAUGAAGAACCAACCAAAGAAGAUAGAAUUGCUAGAAGUGAAAAGAACGCAUAAAAUGAAGAAGUAUUUUCAUUAUUUUUCUGAUUCCUCUUAGAACCUUCUGAAUUUUUUUGAUUUGAACUCCUAGAAAAUUCUCAAUUUUUUUGAUUUGAGCUGCUAGAGAAUUAUGAAUGUUUUUGCUUUGAGCUCCUAGAAAAUUAUGAAUUGAAAUGAAAAUUGAAAUCAAAAGGGAAAUCAAAAUCGAAAUGAAAAAGAUUCUAAUUGUUCCUAUUAAUCUUAACCAGUCAGAAACAAGGAGAAAAAAAUAAUGCAAAAUUAAUAACAACAUAGAUACAGUUUGCAUACGAAUAUAAAAAAAUAGCUUAAUAAAGAACCAAAGAAUAUAGAAUCGCGAGAAUUUAAUAGGACUCAUAAAAUUCUGAAUUUUAUUUAAUUUCUUUUGAUUCUUCCUAUUGUCCUAUUGUUUUUAUUUGAUUCUUCGUAGCGUCGUGAUAAUGUUGUCCAUUCGAUCCUCCUAUUGUGAUCUAUUUUGAAUUAAUUGUAAAUGUGCAUGAACAUUAUGAAUAAUAUGAAACUAGAAAAAGUAUUCACAAUGUGUUUUUUUUUAAUCCAUCAAAAAUGAGAUAGAAUAGCUUCAACCUUGUCAACC
rnacentral:lncRNA from 1 species